UUAUAUUUUGCACGGCGCUGCUUUUGGCACGGCCUUGCAUUUGGCACGGUGCGGCGUUUUGCACGGCGGUACGUUUUGCACGGUGCUGCAUUUGGCACGGCGCUGCGCUUUGCCCGGCCUUGCAUUUGGCACCGCACUGUGUUUUGCACGGCGGUACGUUUUGCACGGCGCUGCAUUUGGCACGGCCUUGCAUUUGGCACAGCGCGGUGUUUUGCACAGCGGUAUGUUUUGCACGGCGCCGCCUUUGGCACGGCGCUGUGCUUUGCAUGGCCUUGCGUUUGGCACCGCGUUGUGCUUUGUAUGGCGUUAUGUUUUGCACGGCGCCGCAUUUGGCAGGGUGCUCUGCUUUGCGCAGUGCCACGCUUUGCACGGCCUCGCGUUUGGCACGGCGCUGUGCUUUGCACGGUGUUCUGUUUUGCACGGCGCCGCAUUUCGGCCUUGCAUUUGGCACAGCGCUGUGUUUUGCACGGCGCUACGCUUUGCACGGCGCCGCAUUUGGCACCGCGUUGUGCUUUGCACGGCGCUGCAUUCGGCACGGCGCUGCAACCUGCGCAGUGCUGUGUUUUGCACGGUGCUACGUUUUGCACGGCGCGACGCUUUGCUCGGCCUUGCGUUCGGCACGGCGCUGCAUUUGGCACGGCGUUAUGUUUUGCACAGCGCUGCAUCCCGCACGGCGCGGCGCUUUGCACGGCGCUGUGUUUUGCACGGCGCUACGCUUUGCACGGCGCUGCAUCCUGCACGGCGCUGCAUCCCGCACGGCGCGGCGCUUUGCACGAGGAGCCGGCGCCACCCGUCCUCCCGCGGCAGCGCCGGGGCUCGAGCGGGUUUCGCGGAGGAGCCGGAGCCGGCCACAACCCCCCCCCCCCGCGGCCCCGAUUUGGGGGAAAGCGGCUCAAAACGGGGGGGGGGGCACACGCACACGUGUGUGUGCACGGGCAAACGCUGCCCUGCCCCGGGCUGCGAGCGCACACGCGUGUGCGGGGCCGGCGCACACGCAGGGGCCGGUCUGCGCGUGCGCACUGCGGGGUCGGGCGCCCGGGCACACGUGUGCACGCUCGGUGCAAGACCAUGUGCACGCGUGUGCCGUGCACGACCACAUACGCGUGAGCCGUGUGCGAGGCUGCUCUGCAGGCGUGCACGCGGGAGGGCACACGUGUGCGGUUACACGCGUGCAUAAGGGAGCUGCAUACGUGUGCAAUCACAUGCGCACAGGAGCGCAUACGUGUGCAAUUGCAUGUGCACAUGAAAGCACGUACGUGUGCAAUUAUGCACAUGCACGAGGGAGCCGUGCACAAGGGAACACACAUGUGUGCAAUUACAUGUGCACAUGCAAGCACACACAUGUGCAGUGUGCGAUUUUGCACAUGCACGAGGGAGCCGUGCACCAGGGAGCGCACACGCGUGCAAUUACCUGCUUGCACAGAGCGCACACGCGUGCAAUUACGUGUCCGUACGAGGGAGCGCACACGCGUGCAACGCCGUGCGUGCACGAGGGAGCACAUACGUGUGCGAUUACCUGUCUGCACGGCGGAGCGCACGCGUGUGCAACCCCGCGCGGGCACGAGGGAGCUGCGCACACGCGUGUGCACCGCCCCGGAGCCCUGCGGUCCAGGCACACGCGUGUGCGGUGCCGGCGAAGCUCCGAGAAGGCGCCGGCGCCGCCGUCCCUUCCCGCUGG
ensembl:lncRNA